UGUGCUAAGGUAGCAUAAUAAUUAGUUGCUUGAUUAGCUACUGGAAUGAAAGGCCUGACGAGAGAUAACCUCUCUCUUAUUUUAUUUAAAUUAAUAUAGAAAAUAAAAAAGUUUUCAUAAAAUAGAAAGACGACAAGACCCUAAAACCUUUAUCAGGGAAUAAUAUUAACUUUUUUACUGGGGAGGUAAAUAAAUUAUUAACUUAAUUCUACACUACAUUUUGGAUGACUUUACCUAACUUUUUUAAAAAUCAAAAAGGUACUUUAGGGGUAACAGCGUAAUUUUUAUCAAGAGACCUAAUCGACAUAUAAAGAUUACGACCUCGAUGUUGAAUUGAUCCCACUUUACUAAGUUA
rnacentral:rRNA from 1 species